rnacentral:rRNA from 1 species
UACGAAGGGGGCUAGCGUUGCUCGGAAUCACUGGGCGUAAAGCGCACGUAGGCGGACUCUUAAGUCGGUGGUGAAAUCCUGGAGCUCAACUCCAGAACUGCCUUCGAUACUGAGAGUCUUGAGUCCGGUAGAGGUGAGUGGAACUGCGAGUGUAGAGGUGAAAUUCGUAGAUAUUCGCAAGAACACCAGUGGCGAAGGCGGCUCACUGGCCCGGUACUGACGCUGAGGUGCGAAAGCGUGGGGAGCAAACAGG